rnacentral:piRNA from 3 species
AUACUUACCUGGCAGGGGAGAUACCAUGA